rnacentral:rRNA from 1 species
UACGGAGGGUGCAAACGUUGCUCGGAAUUAUUGGGCGUAAAGCGCACGUAGGCGGCUCGUUAAGUCGGAUGUGAAAUCCCUCGGCUCAACCGAGGAAGUGCAUCCGAAACUGGCGAGCUUGAGUACGGAAGAGGGUCUCGGAAUUCCCGGUGUAGAGGUGAAAUUCGUAGAUAUCGGGAGGAACACCAGUGGCGAAGGCGGAGACCUGGGCCGAUACUGACGCUGAGGAGCGAAAGCGUGGGGAGCGAACAGG